rnacentral:rRNA from 1 species
CGAAGGAAGAAAUUCAUUCGCGUCUCGUCGUCGGCGGGAAGCGGUCGCGUGACGAAAACGACUUCGUGUCGUUUUCGCGCCUUUCGUUUUUCGAACCGGUGACGAACGCGUGCACUUUUCUUCUGGUAGGACGUCGCGAUCCGUUGGGUGUCGGUCUAAGACUCGCGGUGGAGCCCGCCCGUCGUCUCGUACGUACGGACGGACCCGCGUGUUCCGGCCGACCCGCUCGACGGUAUACGAAUGGUCGAAGGCCGCUCUUCGGAGCGUCCGGCUCGCGACAAGCGCGCCCGUCACGUCGGUAAUCGGACCUAGUGCCGUUUCCGACACCGGGCGACUGUUGGUCGCGAAGUUCUCGGACAGACCUUUAUUUAAAGACCGAUCUGCGACGCUAUAGCUUUGGGUACUUUCAGGACCCGUCUUGAAACACGGACCAAGGAGUCUAGCAUGUGCGCGAGUCAUUGGGAAUUACUAAACCUAAAGGCGUAAUGAAAGUGAAGGUCUUCCUUGCGGAGACCGAGGGAAGACGAGCGGUUACACCCUUAAAAGUGGCCGUUCCGCAUUCCCGGGGCGUCUCGUUCUCAUCGCGAGAAGAGGCGCACCACGAGCGUACACGCUGGGACCCGAAAGAUGGUGAACUAU